ensembl:lncRNA
CAUUCAAGCAGCCCUAGCUACUGGGCCAUGUGGUGAAAGCAGUGUGUGUUAGGUGUCAGCAAGCCUGUACAAUGGACUGGGACCGUAAUGAUAUAUCAAGACGGCAAGAACGCGUUGCCUGGGAAGUUCAAACAGCUUUAGAUGGGACACGUUUUUCUAGAUGCUUACUCUCUUUGGGAGCGCUCAAAACAGAAUUAUCAGCACAUCUUCUAAGCCCUUUCUUCUGGCUAGAUUCCCAAAGGAACUGAAGUCUCCGGUGCACGGCUGCCUCUCUGCGACCAAGUCCAAAAGGAAAAGCUACAAAACACUUGCCCAGCCCUGGAGGUCCACAAAUUCCCCAGGCUUUCCCACAGGUCCUCAAGUGGCAUUGGAAGAGUUCAACCAUCAAGCUUUGGGAAGUUUGGAAGUAUAA